UGAUCCUGGCUCAGGACGAACGCUGGCGGCGUGCUUAACACAUGCAAGUCGAACGGGGAAUUUUGCUUCGGCAGGAUUCCUAGUGGCGAACGGGUGAGUAACGCGUAGGCAACCUGCCCUUCAGACGGGGACAACAUUCCGAAAGGGAUGCUAAUACCGGAUACGAAGCUUCUGCCGCAUGACGGAAGCUUGAAAGGUGCCCUCAAGCACCGCUGAAGGAUGGGCCUGCGUCCGAUUAGCUGGUUGGUGGGGUAACGGCUCACCAAGGCGACGAUCGGUAGCCGGUCUGAGAGGAUGAACGGCCACAUUGGGACUGAGACACGGCCCAGACUCCUACGGGAGGCAGCAGUGGGGAAUCUUCCGCAAUGGGCGAAAGCCUGACGGAGCAACGCCGCGUGAGUGAUGAAGUUCUUCGGAACGUAAAACUCUGUUGUUCACGACGAACGGGGGGACCAGGAAAUGGGUUUCCAGUGACGGUAGUGAACGAGGAAGCCACGGCUAACUACGUGCCAGCAGCCGCGGUAAUACGUAGGUGGCAAGCGUUGUCCGGAAUUAUUGGGCGUAAAGCGCAUGUAGGCGGUUCCUUAAGUCGGUCGUGAAAAUGCGGUGCUUAACGCCGUAUGGCGAUCGAAACUGGGGGACUUGAGUGCAGGAGAGGAAAGGGGAACUCCCAGUGUAGCGGUGAAAUGCGUAGAUAUUGGGAAGAACACCGGUGGCGAAGGCGCCUUUCUGGACUGUGUCUGACGCUGAGAUGCGAAAGCCAGGGUAGCGAACGGGAUUAGAUACCCCGGUAGUCCUGGCCGUAAACGAUGGGUACUAGGUGUGGGAGGUAUCGACCCCUUCCGUGCCGGAGUUAACGCAAUAAGUACCCCGCCUGGGGAGUACGGCCGCAAGGCUUAAACUCAAAGGAAUUGACGGGGGCCCGCACAAGCGGUGGAGUAUGUGGUUUAAUUCGA
rnacentral:rRNA from 1 species